CGGGCAGGCUAGGAAACUUCACCCAAACCGUUGAAUGAGAAGUACAUUGCUUAUCUGCAUCAAACCCUGGAUACCAUUCGAUCAAACGAAGAGGCUGAUCAUUAACAAUCCAUGGAGUUUUGUUGCCAUCCUUGAAAACUUUGUCCUUGUCAUCUUGAGUUAAUAGUUUUAUAAUGAAGAAACCACGGUUCAUAGGGAUAAACUGAACCCCAGCUUCUCCCAAACCCCAUUGCUGUUCCAGAUUUUUCUUAACAUCAAUGAGCUUCACACCUUUGAGAUCUAAUCUUCCAAUAAGGCUAAAUCUCCAUAUUUGACAGCCUUCUUCAUAAUAGUCUUGAGGAAUAACAACUAAGAACCAUUUUUCUGUUUCACUCACAAAACAUAAAAAAAACAAAAAAAAACCCUAAGAACAAACCCUACGAUAUGCUUUGUUCAUGGAAGAGGAAGAAUAGGAUGUUGGUGUCGCUGAUUUGUGUGGUUGUCAUGGAGUUGGAGAUGGGUUUGUGCGAUUUGGAGUCUGCCAAGGGUUUGAGGAGAACACACUCAACUCCCCGCGGUAACAUCAGAUCAUGCACACCAAGUGUUUGAGGAAAGUCCUAAGAAACCAGUUGAAGCUGCAGUCUUCACACACUUGGAAAAACACAGAUCGUGGACAGAGUUUGGGUGGAGAAAUCAUUCAUGCAUCUCUUGAUGCUGUCCAUUGGCAGAACUGUAGCAUCAAGGUAUAAUACUUUAAUCUGAAGAUAUUUCUUAUCUUCGAUCUUGGUGGUGGUACAUUUGAAAAUAUCUUUGAGUUUAAGGCUAUGUGGACGAAGAUUAUAGGAGCUGGAUCGUGGGGGUUCAAGUUUUGAAUGUUUUUCCGUGUAUUAAAGGCCUAACAACUUCAACUAAAACGAGGUAAAAGCAUGUAGUCACAAGGUUCACCCCAAAGAAGACAGAGCUGCUUCACUAUAACACGCACCAGACUCCGUUCGACAAUUUGAAUGUUAAGCUUGAAGCUUUUUAUAAAAGGUCUUCCUUGCAGAGAUCUUGAAGCUCGAUGUUGUGGCCGUGAGACAUGCUCUUGAAUCCAUAUUUUAAUCACGUUGGUGGCAGGUAAUUUCCAUGUCUGUGUGUUUUAUCCAAAUAAAUCAAAAUGGAUUUUCGUAAUGAGUACUUCUAAGAAACUCUAUGCUGGCAAGAUAAGAACAGAGAAAUCAAAGGGAGCAUUUCAUCACUCAGAGUUUCCUUGCCGGUGGGGCUGUUUUAUCUACCAUGGACCGGGUAAGGCCGAAACAAGGAAAAACAACCUAGGAUAUUUGAUUUCUGGAUCGGUACCAUACAAGGACAUCUGAACAGCAACAAGUAUGUCGACAGUAUCUACUUCAGCACUAAUGGCCGAGAGUUUGGCAGCAACAGAAGCCGUUAAAUGGGCGACACAGACAGGUCUAAAGAAGGUGAUACUGGAAGGGGAUAGUCAAGAUGUCAUGGACUUCAUGGAAGGCAAAAUAGGGAAAAUGAAGUUGCAAAAUAGGCAAAAUAGCCGAAAAGAUAGAAUAACUGAAUGCUUACAAGUUGGAACUCUUAAAUUGAAGCUUGCAGGUGUCAGAGCUAAUGGCAUUCAAACAGAAGCUUUUCUCAGUCUAAAGUAGAGGGGGUAGUUGCCGAUUAACCUAAACAUGUUAAAGAUGAGUUUUUUGCUGUCAAUUAAUCACUACGUACGAUGUGCAGAUUAACCUAAACAUGUGACACAACUAUGCCACACAAAAACUAUCGUCAACGGAAAAUUUGCAUAACCUCCCAGUCUUUGGAGGGAACAGGGGACAGUUUGGUUGGUAGUGUCGGAAAGGAAUUGUCAGCAUGACAUGCAUAUGUACAAGAGUGGGUAAGAUUGGUGAAGGCAUCACCCCAGUCCCAGACAUCAUUGUGAACCUUAUAUGUUCCUUUUCUGAAAGACAAAUGUUCAGUUUAUUGAUUUUAUCAGGGUAUAUGUCGCAGUUCAUGUGUGGUAGGAGGGCGAUGCUCCUCCCUUAACUGAUAGUUGUAGCACCAGUUAGAGCCAAAGGCCUUCAGUUGGUCUCUAUUUGUAUAGUUUUUCCUUUGGUGGGCUAUAUAGUGGCUUUGUCAUAUUUAGCACACCUUAUUAAACAGAACGAGCAAUGUAGAAAUGCAAUAAGUAUUAUUCAGCA